GUUUUGGAGUCAGAUAGUACUGUUGUGAUGUUGUAGGUGAUAUCAAAGCUCACGGAUGUGAAGGCUUCGCAUGUACCAUACAGAGACUCUAAGUUAAUAAGAAUCCUUCAGUCCUCACUGAGUGGUCAUGACCGAGUAUCUCUCAUUUGUACAGUAACUCCUGCAUCAAGAAUUUCGGAAGAAACACACAACACAUUGAAAUUUGCUCAUCGUGCAAAGCAUAUUGAGAUUCAAGCCAAGCAAAACAAGAUAACUGAUGAGAAAUCAUUAAUCAAGAAGUACCAACACGAGAUUCGGAAACUGAAGGAGGAGUUGGAACAGCUUAAACAGGGCACUGUACCAGUUCCUCAGCUGAAGGAUAUGGGUGCACAUGAUACUAUUCUCCUGAAGCAGAAGCUAGAAGAUGGUCAAGUCAAGCUACAAUCGAGACUCGAAGAAGAGGAAGAAGCUAGAGCAGCUCUCUCGAGUCGAAUCCAACAGUUGACAAAACUAAUAUUGGUGUCGACUAAAACUUCACAGACAUAUCGCUUACCUCAUCGCUUUAAUCCUCGGAGAAAACACUCAUUUGAGGAAGAAGAGGUAGAAUCACUGAUAUAACCUGGAUAAUAUAAAUUGUCUCAUGGUUCACUUUUUGGUUAAUCUUGGUUGAUAAUGUGUGUGUGUGUGUGUGUAGCUUGCUUACUUACCAUACAAGAGGCGGGACUUAAUGGACGAUGAGGACAUUGAUAUGUAUGUUUCUGUGGAGGGAAGUCAUGAGAUUAGAGAAGAAAAGAAGAGCCGGAAGCAUGGGUUGUUAAAUUGGUUAAAGCCUAAGGUAUACAAAUGUCUGACUUUUUGUUUAAAGAAUAAUGCUAUAAAUAAUAGUAGAAAUCACACACACAGCCUUGUCUCCUCUUAGGUGCAGUUUCUUCUUUUAAUUAUUCUCUGGUCCCCUUUGUUGAUCCGAACUUACUUUUACCUAUCAGAAAAGGGAUAACAGCUCAAGUGCUAGCGACCAGUCGAGUGUGGUAAAAUCUAACAGCACGCCAUCGACUCCUCAAGGAGGAGGAAGUAAUCUUUAUACAGAAUCAAGACUUUCAGAAGGCUCGCCUUUGAUGGAACAACUCUCAGAGUCUAGAGAAGACAGAGAACCUCCUGAAGACAUGGAGACUCUGGAGGUACAUAAGAGAUACUUUCACAUCUCUGUAAUGUCGCCAAAGUAACUAUAUCAUUCAUAUGUGCUCUUGUUCCCAGGCUAGCAAUAAAAUCAUCGAUGAGUUGGAUCUUAUGAGGGAACAUAAAAAGAUUUUAUCGGAGGAGGCGGCGUUGCAGUCAAGUUCUUUGAAACGGUUGUCAGAUGAAGCUGUGAAAUCCCCUCAAAAUGAAGAGAUUAAAGUAAUAUAAUCACUCCCUGUUCAUGAUCUUUGUCUAGCUGUAUUCUAAAUCAACCAAAUAUUCACCUUCCUGGUUCUAUAUGUUACUUAGGUGGAGAUUAAAGACCUUCAUGAUGGCAUCAAGGCAAAGAAUGGCCAGAUUGCCACCUUGGAGAAACAAAUCGUGGAUUAUGUUGUGACAUCACAUGAGGCAUUGGAUAAAUCUGACAUCGUGCAAGUAAGUUCACAUUGCCAAGUACUGUACACUGAUUUUUUUUUGUCGUUCAUUUCUCAAGCGAUUCUUCAGUGUCUUCAAGCAGUUGCUGAGCUUAGGGAUCAACUUAAUGAGAGAUCUUUUGAACUCGAGGCGAUCUCAUCGAUUUGUUUAUGUUAUAUGCAGCACUUAUUCAUCUAUUGCUUCAGCUCUUUAGAGGGGAAAAAGGCUUUUUCACACCCCAACAAUUUACGUCGUGCCUUUUUAGACCCAAACAAAACAUAAGUGCGAAAUCAUUCCUGAACUAAGAUUUUUUUUAAAAAAAUUCAACCCAAACUUGACUCUGUAACAUGAAAUCCUACUUUGACUAACUUAUCGUUAGUCAACCGUUAAACCAUGCUUAGUCGGAUAAGGGAAAAAUGAUGAUUUCAACCUGGACAAUUUUGGUCGUGCCUUUUCAAACCUGAACAAUGAGUAAGUGUAAUUUCAUACCCAAACUUAACAAUAAUUUGAAUUUCAUACCCGAACUUUAAAAUUAACAUAAAAACUACUUUGACUGAUGUUUGGUUAGUCAACCUUUAACUAAACUCAUUAAAAAACACUCACUAUAAAUCGUACCCCCACUUAGCGAAGCCCUAAACUAAGCAUUAAACCACUGGACUAAGACAAAUUUUGGAAAAUCUACAUAUAUACUAAAUUAUAUAGGUAAAGAAAUCACUAGCUUCUUCUCCAUGUGGCUAUAUCUCUCUCUCAGUUGUCAAUUUCAGAAGUUUCAGUCUUUAGGAAGUUCUAUUUUUGAUAGUAGUGAACAUUUUAAAAUCACAUGAGAAUGUAACGUUGGGAGCCAAAAAGAUUAGCUCAGGCUAUAACACGUAGACAAGAGCGGAGAUUAGUUUCUUCGUCUAAAAUGGAUUAGCAUGAACAGAGGCAUUAUCAAGCCCAAUAAAUCGAAUCCAUUUGAUUAGGGAUCGAUCCGCGACGAAUCUGUGAGCAAACCUAGUAUCGAGAAGAAGUAAAACAAUGGUGUAACAUGAAAGUAGAUAUAAAUUAGUAUAUAUGUAAAUAUGACAAAAGUUACUGACCUGAU